rnacentral:rRNA from 1 species
CUAUUAUGGAGAGUUUGAUCCUGGCUCAGGACGAACGCUGGCGGCGUGCCUAAUACAUGCAAGUCGAGCG